rnacentral:rRNA from 1 species
UACGAAGGGGGCUAGCGUUGCUCGGAAUUACUGGGCGUAAAGCGCACGUAGGCGGCUUCUUAAGUCGGUGGUGAAAUCCUGGAGCUCAACUCCAGAACUGCCUUCGAUACUGGGAGGCUCGAGUCCGGGAGAGGUGAGUGGAACUGCGAGUGUAGAGGUGAAAUUCGUAGAUAUUCGCAAGAACACCAGUGGCGAAGGCGGCUCACUGGCCCGGUACUGACGCUGAGGUGCGAAAGCGUGGGGAGCAAACAG